rnacentral:rRNA from 1 species
GACGAACGCUGGCGGCGUGCUUAACACAUGCAAGUCGAACGGUGAUGCUCCAGCUUGCUGGAGUGGAUCAGUGGCGAACGGGUGAGUAACACGUGAGCAACCUGCCCCAGACUCUGGAAUAAGCGCUGGAAACGGCGUCUAAUACUGGAUACGAAACUGGCCCGCAUGGGCAUGGUUUGGAAAGUUUCUCGGUUUGGGAUGGGCUCGCGGCCUAUCAGCUUGUUGGUGAGGUAAUGGCUCACCAAGGCGACGACGGGUAGCCGGCCUGAGAGGGCGACCGGCCACACUGGGACUGAGACACGGCCCAGACUCCUACGGGAGGCAGCAGUGGGGAAUAUUGCACAAUGGGCGAAAGCCUGAUGCAGCGACGCCGCGUGAGGGAUGACGGCCUUCGGGUUGUAAACCUCUUUCAGCAGGGAAGAAGCGAAAGUGACGGUACCUGCAGAAGAAGCACCGGCUAACUACGUG